AUUUAUAACGCCACCAUGUCGUUUACUUAGCUUAGCUCGUUUACUUACGCUUAACGUUAGUGUAAUUCGAAACUAACUGGGAGUCAAAUCAAUUAAAGGACCAUGCCGAAGGGAACGAUUUUAACGGAAAAGGAGCGUGGUAAAAUCGAUGUUUUGAAGGAGGAAGGAUUUUCUCUCCACGAGAUAGCGCGUAGAAUUGGAAGGAGCAGAGAUGCCGUGACAAACUAUAUCCAGUUGGGUGCUCAGUACGCCACAAAGAAGCGUCCCGGACGACGUCCUCGCUUAACAGAUAGGGACAAACGACAUAUCAAGUGCCUCGCUGUUGAGUCUAAACUUUCAUCAUCAAAAAUAAAAGCUGAAAUGAACAUUCCAGUAACCAGUCGUCGUAUCCGUCAAGUUCUAAGCUCCGACGCGAACCUUUCGUACAGAAAAUUCGUACCUGUACCGCGACUACUUCCUCGGCAUAAGAAGGCACGACUAAAUUUCGCCGAGAAAUUGCAAUUCUGGGAUGAAGAGUGGUCUAGAGUGGUUUUCAGCGAUGAGAAAAAGUUUAAUUCGGACGGUCCUGACGGUUCUGCUGACUGUUGGCAAGAUAAAUGAAAGAAAAAACCAACAAAAGAAUCUCGCAACUUCGGAGGAGCCGUAAUGGUUUGGGCAGGCAUCAGUGACGCUGGGAAAACUUCAAUCUGCUUCAUAUCAACAAGAAUGAAUUCCGAGAAGUUCUGCGAACUGCUGGAGGAGGUUUUGAUUCCUUUUAUGGAAGACGUUAUGGACGAAAAUGCUUUUUUGACGUAGGACUACGUCUAACCGGAAGAUAUAUGGGGUGAAAUGAAAAUCUAGGCACUGAACAAGUAGGAAAAAAUAGUAGGAAGAUUUGGAACGCUUAUAACUCGGGCAUUUCUCAAUAGAUCGCAAAGGUGCUUGCAUCAAUUGAUAGGAAAUAUAUCUACGCAUCUAUCAUAUAACAUUUCAUUUUUCUUGAGAUAAACAAUUGAAUAAUUGUGAAAUAUCAAGCAUAGUCCAAAUACACUAUGUGCCCAUUUUUGAUUGGUCCAUUUUGUGCUCCUCAAAUCGUACCGACCAAAACGGGCAACCAGAGCAGCAGCGAAAUACAAUGAAGCACGAUUGGAAAGGAAAAAGAAAAAAAUGAACGAAACAUUGGUCGCAGUCUCACACAUGCGUAAUUCUCGAGUCAGCCAGUCAGCUUAAAAAUCCCCGCUCCGCUGCCGUAACGCUCAUUCUCAUCCAAACCGUACACCACAUCGUUUCGCAUCACAUCACAUCAACAAACCAACACAAGCAGCCAUGUCUGGACAUGGCAAAGGAGCAAAGGAGGAUCGCGACGAUAAGAAAACCCGCAUUCGGAACAGACCACAAUCGGUUCCGUGGACACCAAGACAACAACAGGCAGUUGCAGCGAGAGGCGAGUGGCAAACGCAAUCGCAAAACGGCAGCAGGUAGCAGAAGGUAAGGAGCUAUUAUCAUAACAAGGAGGCACUCACUAUCAAAGGAUACCGUUGCUACAUCAACUGGCGAUGUAGUUGUUACGACCCACCAAAGGCACUGUUCCAGACAAGGAUAAUACCGACGAGGCAACGAAGGAAUAAAUUAUAUUUUUUUUAUAU